GAGUGACAGCUGCCAGCCUCUGCCACAGCCACAGCAACACCAGAUCCGAGCUUCACCGAGCUACACCACAGCUCACCCCAAGCCAGAUCCUUAACCCACUGAGUGAGGCCAGGAAUCGAACCCGCGUCUUCAUGGUUCCUAGUCAAAUUCGUUUCCACUGCACCAUGAUGGGAACUCCCACAUUGCUCUUUUUGAAUCCGUAGUUCCACAUUAUAGUUUGUUUACAAACCUCUUGGAGUGGGAGCUCCUGGAGGUCAGAGACCAUAUGUAUCAUCAUCUCAGUAUCCCUAGCAACUAACAUAGUACAAAUUUUCCAGUCGAAAUUAUAAAUAUCUGCUUGGUCAGCCCUCAUUUCACCUGAUGUUCCAUAACAUGCACUCCUAGAUCUAGAAUACAGUCCUCAGUAAGUGUAAUGAAAAUGGAAAAGAAGAAACAAUUACAUUUCAUGUGCUGUGUUGAGAAGAAAUGUUCAUGUCAUAAUUAUUAAAGAAAAUCUUUCGGGAAAAUAGUGUUUCAAUCCUGGAAGGGUGGAAAUGAUCAGAAGCCCCCCCCCACCCCACCUCAGCUCCCAGGGCAUAGCAGUUCUCUGGUUCUAGGAAUUCAAGAUAACAAAGUGUCAUACCACUGUUUGUGAUUAACCAGAAAAACACAAGCCCCUCAAGUUAUUUCAAACAAAGAGUGAUUUAAUGCUAGGAAUUAGGUCACAUAAUUAUUGGAACUGAAAGAGCCAAAAAGCGGCAGUAUUGCCCAAUGAUGGAGAACUGUGAGAACCCUGGAGCUUCUGGUCAUCUGCUGACUUUCACUAUUACUCAUAAGAAAUCAGCUUAAAACAGAUUGUGUUACUUAUUACAGUUCUGUGAAUUGUCUGAGUUCGGCUGAGUAGUUCUGCUUCGCUUGAUGUCUGAGGCUAUGGUCAUUUGAAAAUGUUUAUGGUUAAAAAUUUUUAAAAACUUACAUUUGAAUUAAUACACGACAAAAAUAUACCAAGAGAUUGCAACAUCUGGAGUUCCUGGUUGUGGCACAGUGGGUUAAGAAUCCAGCUGCAGUGGCUUGGGUUCCUGCAGAGGCUCAGGUCAGUCCCCCAGCCCCGUGCAGUGGGUUAAAGGAUCCAGUAUUGCUGCAGCUUCAGCUUGGAUUCAGUCCCUGGCCCUGGAAUUUUCACCUGCCAUGAGUGUGGCCACAAAGAAUAAAGGUGAGGUGCUGAUCUCCAAUGUCGUUCUCUCUACAAGCUCCUUAUCUAGAUCACCGUCACCCAUCUUCGUGUUUUCUCUGUUUAAUUGUUCUCAGAAUCUCAAGGGUUGCUUUUCAAGAGGCUGCUUUCUAUUCCAUUCCCUGACUACCCCAUACGCGUAUCUCUAACAGCAUUUGUCAUGCUGUCCUGGAAUUAUUGGUGAAUUUAUCUUUUUAUUCAACUCAUCCAAGAGCUCCUGGAGGAUGUGGGUUGUGUCUUAAUGAUCUUGAGGCUGCCACUUCUGUCACAGUACCCAGCACAGAGUAGAUAUUACAGGCAUUGGUUGAAUGAAGUGAUGUAAAUUGGUAGAAAAAAAGGGCUGGUGAGUUUUUUGUUUUUCGUUUUUUUUCCAGUUAGCGGUCUUCAGAAAACACAUUUAGGAAUUACAGCAGGAGUUCCCNUUUCCUUUUUUUUUUUUUUUUUUUUUGUAAUCAAAACUCAAGUUGUGGCAGUGUACCCCAGAGCAUGUAUCUUGAUAGAUACAAAGCAGUCAUGGCACCCCUGUUUUCCUCUGCAGAUAACACGCCUGGGUUGAACAUGAUGGGGCAUAGAGGGAAGCUGUGGAGCUUACAGGGACAGAUCUUCCAUAAAAGGAGGAAGUCACUUUUUUUUCUUUUCUCCCUUCCUGCUAUGUUUACUGUUCUGUAAGAGCUGUGAAGCCUGGAUCCAGGGCAGCUGUCCUAUGCUAUUAGGUGGCAGCUUGAAAACAAAAUAUAACAUGCUGAGAAUUAUGGAGGCAGAGAGAUGGAAAGUCUAGGUCUUUGAUGAGAUCAUUGAGCCACAUCAAUCCUAGAUUACCUGUUACAUACAGACUUCUUUUUGUGUAAGGUAAUUAAACUGGCUUCAUUGGUAAGCCGCUAUGUAGUUAAAAAGAUGUAUCUAUGUCCAAACCCUCAGAACCUGUAAAUGUGGCCUUUUUUGGAAAAAGUGUCUUUGCAGAUCUAAUUAGUUAAGGAUCAUCCUGGAUUAUCUGAGUGGGCCCUAAAUCCAAUGACAAGUGUCCUGUAAGAGACACAGAGGAGAAAAUGGGCACAGAGGUGAAAACCGAGGCAGAGAUGAGAAUUAUGCAGGGACAAUCCAAGGAACACCUGGAACCACCAGAAAUUGGAAGAGGCGAGGAGGAAUUUUUUCUGUAGAACCUGCAGAGAGAGGCCCUGCUAACAACUUGCUUGGGGCUUUUGACUGCCGAAACUGUGAGAAAAUAAUUUCUGUUGUUUUAAGCCACCCAGUUGGUGGUCAUUUUUUACAGCAGACUUGAGAAAUAAUGUAAACUUGUAAGUCAGUUCUUUUUUUGGUUGCAGAUAAAGAUCCUCGAUUAAUAUAGGGAUUUUUUCAAAAUUUCAAAGUAAAAUAAUUGGUAUUGGUAAUAAUUUAGGAAAAGAUCCUAGAAUCCCUGAAAAUUCUUCCCAUAGGACUUGAAACCAAGAUUGAUACUAAAGUUCAGAGAUCCCAGAGGUAGGGGGAUAAGAAGACACCUUUAAAUGAUACUGUGGGGCAUACCUGCUCACACCAAAUAGAGCACAGCAAUUCCAAAGAAGUAACCAGGUGUAUAAGGAUAGAUGUAGAUAUAGAUGCUACAUUUAACAUCUGUAUAGUAAAAAGUUCGUGACCGCAUUAAUUCUUUUUUCUUUUUUUUUUUUUCGGCCACACCUGCACCAUGCAGAACAUCCUCGGCCAGGGAUGGAACCCAUGCCAUUGCAGUGACCCUAACCUCAACAGUGACAAUGUCAGAUCCUUAACCAGUAGGCCACCAGGGAACCCCAAGACCAUCCUUCCUCAGCAGUCUUGGCAUCCUUGUAAAAAAUGAUUUGACCACAUAUGCAAGAGCUUAUUUCUUGGCUCUCUAUUCAUUCCAUUGUUCUAGACGUCUGUCUUUAUGUUACUACCACACAUGUUUUGAUUACUAUCACUUUGUAAUAACAGCCUGAGCCUCUGCAGUGACACUGUCAGAUCCUUAACCUGCUGAGCCACAAGAGAACUCCACUAAUUAAUUACUUUUAAUAGAUGUUCUCUUUUCUCAUUAACUAUUAGUAGAAGACUUGAUAAUAGUCUGGACCACAAAAUACUAUGUGUCUUUUAUUUGUUUUCCAGCUUUAUUGAGAUAUUGACAUAACAUAUGUAAGUUCAAGGUAUACAACAUGAUGAUUUGAUACAUGUGUGUAUUGCAAAAUGAUUGCCAUAGGAAGGUUAGUUAACACCUCCCUUCUCUUGCAUAGUUAUCUUUUGUCUCUGUGUGGUGAUAACUUUUAAGACCUAAUUUUUAAACUUCCAGGUUAUAUGAUACAGUAUUGUUAAUUAUAAUCACCAUGCUGUACAUUAGGUCUCUACAACUUACUGAUCUUAUAGCUGGAAGUUUGUAUGCUUUGACCAACAUCUCCCUGUUGCUUCCAUUCUCAGCCCCGGCAACUAUCAUUUAACUCUAUUGGCUUGAGUUUAGCUUUUUUAGAUUCCACAUAUAUGUGAGAAUAUACAGUGUUUGUCUUUCUUUGUCUGAUUUAUUUCACUUAGUGUAACUCCCUCAAGAAUCAUCCAUGUUGUUCCAAAAGGCAAGAUUCCUUUUUUUAUGCCUGAAUAAUAUUCUGUUGUAUGUAUGUGUAGUGUGUGUGUGUGUGUAUCACAUUUUCUUUGUCCAUUCAUCCAUCAGUGGACACCUAUUAGCUUGUUGUCCACUAAUGGAUGGACAACGUUUUAAAAGUGGAAAAUCGGUGUGGAAGUUACCUGUCAUUUAUUUUCAGGAAGGGAAAAAAGCAAGAUGCAGAACAGAAUAUACACCGUGACCUUCCGUGUGUGAAAACAAAACCUAGGAGUUCCUGGUGGCCUAGUGGUUAAGGAUCCAGUGGUGUCAGCGCUGCAGCUUGGGUCACUGCUGUGGCACAGGUUGAAUCCCUAGCCUUAGAACUUCCACAUGCCAUGCAUGUGGCCAAAAAAAAAACCCCAAAACAAAAGACCCACUGAAAUUUAUAUAGGCACAGGAUGAAAGGUCAAGAAGGCCUAAUAAGAUUGUUAACACUUCUAGAAAGUCGGAGUGCCAAAGUAUACAUACACUUCCGUUUCUACACUUUUGUAUUUGCAUUUUGCUUCUUUUAAAAAAUAAUUUGCAUUGCCUUUAUGAUUAAGGGAAACUAUUGAGUAUUGGCACUUAUUACGGAUAACCCAAUCUCCACACUAGGAAAGACGGGAGAGGGAUUUGGGGUGGGGGGAAGCUAUAGAAUUAAAGCCUAGAGAAAAGCAAUUAGAAUAAAAGAACAAGAGAAACAGCUUUAUGAUGAACUAUCUAAAGGCUUUCAGCCAGGAGGGAUGUGAACACCAUCUCAAAUUGAUGCACAUGAUGAUAGUAAAUAUCAAAUUUACUAAAGCCCAAAAUAUCAUAGAAAUAAGAGGAAUACUUUUUGAAGGGAAAACAUAAUAUGGAUUCUGUUUUUUUCACUUUUCUGUAUCUGUGGAAUUUUUCUAGUAAACGUUAAUGAUGAAAAUGAUAAUACAUAGAGUUAUUACGCUGAAGGCCAUACAGACCUGUAUGAUAGUUUUCUGCAGGUAAACAACAUUAAUAGUUACAUAAGGUGUCACUGGUGGUGGCAGCGGCCUACCCUUUGAGCUGUACACACGAAAAUACCCAGAUAUCGCAUCUUGAAUAUAGUACAGCCCAAUCUGUGUUUUUGAGUUGGUACAAUAAUGGAAAGAAUGUUAGGCCGGGGGUGAGGAGCACAAGGUUUUCUAACCCUGGGCCUGUUACUGUUUAUCAAUGAGACCUUGAAAAAAACGGCUUUUCUAUAUCCCAGAUUCCUUAUUAUUAGAUAUGGCCUCUUUAACCACAAGAAUAUACACUUCCUUAAAACUCAGGAAAAUUUCCACUCCCAUAAAAUGUUAUACUAAAAAGAAAUCUGGGCUUAAUGGGAAACUUGGAGUAACAUAAUACUGUAUAGUUAAUCAUAGCUGACACUUAUAUAGUACUUCCCAGCUUAUCAAAUGCUUUCAUACAUCUUAUCUCAGAAUCUACCUGACAGCUCAAACACUGAUAAUAAAUGUCUUGGUAUUAUAUGUAAUUUAUGUAUUUACAUAUUUUCCAGAAUAGGAUCAAGAUCUGUAACCAACUGGAGAAAAGGGGGGAAUAUAUCAUAUAUGAUAGAACAGCCUGGAUCUCACUCCAGUGUGUAUAGGAGAGCUUGUGAGUUGAUUGAUUCGUUAACACGGUAGCAGCCUGCAAGUGGAAACUUAAGUGGAAAUAAAAAUGAUAAGCCUAAAAGCUUUGAUUCAGGUAGAAACUACAGGUCAAGUAGUAGCCUUUGAUGAGGACACUUGCUAAAAGGCAGCGCAAAGCAGUAGUUAAGCACUUGGAUUCUGAAGCCAAGCUUAAUUGUAUCUAAAUCCCAAUCUGUCAUUUGUUGGCCAAAUGACUUUGAGAAACUUACUUGACUUCUGUGUGACUCACUUUACUAAUUUGAAAAAUGGGGAUAAAAAUACUACCUACCUCUUGGAGUUACUAUACCAAUUAAAAUAUUUAAUAAUUUUACAAUGUCUAGAAUAGUAAUCACACAAAAUAUAACUUAAGUUUGUUAAAUAAAAACUUUAAAUGUAAAUACCUCCUCAUUCAGCAUCAUAUUAACAGGAUUAUCCACCAUGAUCAAGUGGGAUUUAUUCCUGGAAUGCAGGAAUGGUAAAACAUAUGCAAACUGAGCAGUAUGCUAUGUAUGCCACAUUAAUGAAAUGAAGAAAACCACAAUUAUCUUGAUGCAGAAAAGCAUUUGACAAAAGUGAACACCCUUUCAUGAUAAAACUAGGAAUAGAAGGAAAUUACCUCAAUAUAAUGACAAGUCCACAGAGAACACAUUCAAUGAUGAAAAACUGAAAACUUUUCCUCUAAGAUCAGGUACAAGGGAAACGUGCCCCAUUUCACCACUUCUGCUCAACAUAGUACCAGAUAUCCUAGCCAGAGAAGUGUGAGAAGAAGGAAAAAAGAAUCCAGGUUGGAAAGGAAGAAGUAAAAUUUCCUCUUUGUGAAGACGAUAUGCUGUAUAGGUAGAAAUCCAUAAAUUUUCUACAAAGAAGUCCAGAACUAAUAAAUUCAGCAAAGCAGCAGGAUACAAAAUCCACACAAAAAAAUCAGCUGCAUAUCUUACAUCAGUCUAAACAGAAAAUUAAAACAAUUUAAUUUACAGUGGCAUCAAUGAGAAUAAAAUAUUUAGUUAGCAAGGAGUUGAAAGGCUUGUACAAUGAAAAUUAGAAAUCAUUGCUAAAGUUUAAAGAAGACACCCCACGUUGAUAGAUUGAAAGACAAUAUUGUUUAGCUGUCAGUACUAUCCAAGGUAAUCUACUAAAGAUUCAGUGCCAUCCCUACUAAAAUCUCAAUGAUAUUUUUGCAGAUACAGAAAACCUAUCCUAAAAUUCAUAUGGAAUCACAUGGGACCCCAAAUAGCCAAAAGACUCUUUUAAAAGAAGAACAAAGAUGUAUGACUCACACUUUCUGAUUUCCAAACUUAUUACAAAGCUAUAGUAAUCAAAACUGUGAUCAUAACAUAAAGACAGAAUAUAGACCAAUGGAAUAGAAUAGAGGCAAGAAAUAAGCUCUUGUAUAUGUGGUCAAAAUGUUUUUUAUAAGAGUGUCAAAACUGUUGAAGAAAGAUAGUGCGGUGGCCUAGUGGUUAAGGAUCUGGCAUUGUUACUGCUGUGGCUUGGGUCACUUCUGUGACACAGGUUCAAUACCUGGCCUGGAAAACUUCUGCAUGCUGUGGGUGUGGCCAAAAAAAAAAAAAAAAUGCAAACCCAAACUACAGUGAGAUACCACUUCGUACCAUUAGGAGGGCUAUCAUCACAAGACAGAAAAUAGCAACUGUUGGAGAGGAUGUGAAAGAAUUGGCACACUUAAUCACUGUUGGUGGCAUGUAAAAUGGUCCAGCUGCUGUGGAAAAUAGUUACAAUAAUUCCUCAAAGAAUUAAACAUAGGAAUACCAUAGGAUCCAGCAAUUCCAUUUCCAGUUAUAUACCCCAAAGAGUUGAAAGCAGGGGAGAAUUCCCUUUGUAGGUUAAUGACCCUGACUAGGAUCCAUGAGGAUGAGGGUUUGAUCCUGGCCUCACUCAGUGGGUUAAGGAUCCAGUGUUGCUGUGAGCUUUGGUGUAGGUGUAGGUCACAGACACAGCUCAGAUCCCAUGUUGCUGUGGCUGUGGCGUAGGCCAGCAGCUGUAGCUCCAAUACAACCCUCAGCCUGGUAACUUCAGGCGUGGCCCUAAAAAGAAAAAGAAAGUUGAAAGCAGGGAUUUGAUCAGCUGUUUGUAUACCCAUGCUCAUAGCAGCAUCAUUCACAAUAGCUAAAAUGUACAACCCAAGUGCCCAUCUACAAAUAAGUGGAGAGGUAAAAUGUGAUAUAUACACACAAUGGAAUAGUAUUCAGCCUUGAAAAGGAAGUUCUGCCACAUGCUGCAACAUGGAUGAACCUUUAGGACAUUAUACUAAGUGAAAUAAACCAAUCACAAAAAGACAAGUAUAAUUCCACCUAUAUAAAGUACUUGGAGUUGUUUAAUGGGUGUAGAAUUUCUGUUUUUCAGGGUAAAAAGAGUUAUAGAAAUGAAUUGUAAUAAUGUUUUCACAUUGUCAAUGUAUUUAAUAUCACCUGUACACUUAAAUGGUGAAGAUGGUAAAUGUAUGUUAUGUUUAUUUUACCAUGUUAAAAAAGAUUGUGGUGCAGUGGGUUAAGGAACUGGCAUUGUCACUGCUGUGGCUCUCGUUACUGCUGUGGCCCAUGUUCGAUCCCUGGUCUGGGAACCUCCACAUGCUGUGAGCACAGCCCCCGCCCCCAAAAAAA
rnacentral:lncRNA from 1 species